rnacentral:rRNA from 1 species
AUGGUACCGCAGCUCCAGUGGUGCAGCCAGGAACACACAUUCAACACAGAUAUGUGUGUGCUAGACUUGGGCGUCUAUGAUGCAGUUCUCGGCGUCGACUGGCUAGCGCAACAUAGCCCCAUGAAGUGUGAUUGGCAGUUGAAAACAAUGCAAUUCGAGCGUGAUGGGACAGCAGUACACCUACAGGGAGUUAGAUCGGAUGAAUCGCCAACCCUUACUGCUUUGGAUGCUUCUUCUCUUUGGCAAAUGCAUGAUGCAAACGAGAUUUGGGGGGCUGCUUUAAUAGAACUCCAAAUGGCGCCAAUACCAGAUUCAGCAACAACUCAACCACCACCAGUUGUGAUCCAAUGCAUUCUAACAGAGUUCAGUGAUGUCUUUGCUGAACCUACAGGAUUACCUCCCCGCCGUCAAUACGACCAUGCUAUCACUCUAGAACCGGGGGCCACACCAAUCAACUGUCGCCCGUACCGUUAUUCUCCGUUGCAGAAAGACGAGAUAGAGCGUCAGGUUACGGAAAUGCUGCGGACAGGGAUCAUUACUCAUAGUAUGAGUCCCUACGCCGCUCCUGUACUCCUGGUGAAAAAGAAGGAUGGAACCUGGCGCUUCUGCGUAGAUUACAGACGCCUGAACAUGGUGACCAUCAAAAACAGAUUUCCCCUUCCCGUCAUCGACGAGCUACUGGAUGAACUUGCUGGCGCCGCCUUAUUUUCCAAGACCGAUCUGCGAGCUGGAUACCAUCAGAUCCGUAUGAAAAAAGGCGACGAGGAGAAAACUGCAUUCAAAACGCAUCACGACCACUUUGAGUUCCGUGUCAUGCCAUUUGGGGUCACCAACGGACCACCCACAUUCCAAUGUGUCAUAAACUCGGUGUUCUCCGGACCAAAUCGUAAGUUCGUCAUUACUUUUCUCGAUGACAUCUUGGUGUUCAGCCGUUCUCUG